AUUGAACGCUGGCGGCAGGCCUAACACAUGCAAGUCGAACGAGUGGCGGAAGGGUGAGUAAUGUCUGGGAAACUGCCUGAUGGAGGGGGAUAACUACUGGAAACGGUAGCUAAUCCCGCAUACCAUCGGAUGUGCCCAGAUGGGAUUAGCUAGUAGGUGGGAUGAAGGCUCACCUAGGCGACGAGCCCUAGCUGGUCUGAGAGGAUGACAAGACACACUGGACCUGAGACACGGUCCAGACCACUCUGGUAGGGAGCAGUGGGGAAUAGAGUACUAGGGGCUGAAGCCUGAUCUGGCCCUGCCGAGUGUAGGAAGAAGGGAUUCGGGUUUUAAAGUUAUUCUAGCGUGGAGGCGUUACCCUAUGAAGAAGCACCGGCUAACUCCGUGCCAGCAGCCGCGGUAAUAC
rnacentral:rRNA from 1 species